AGUCAAAUGGGCAUCCAAAAGAACACAGGCCUGGCCUUCAGCCGGGGGCUGCGAGAAGCAGCUUCCUCUGGAUUCUACUGGGUUUCUACUUCCGCUCUUUUCCAGGAGGAAUUCCACCCGGCUCUGGGGCGUGCGUCCGACAAGCCCCUAGGGGGAGAAAGGAGAAGGGUGAAGGCCGGGCUAGUAGUCGCUGCCCGCUGGGCAGCAUCUGGAGGCCCGUGCGGGAUGCAGGCGAGGGGGAUGGAGCGGCGCCGCUGGAGGAAAUUGGCUUCCCAUGGGACCUGCAACUGUCUGGAAACAAAAAAAGAAGCCUACCAAAAGGGGAAAUUUAAAGGAGAGCAAGAAACCAUGAAGAGAGAGCCGAAAACGCGAAAGUAAAGAGUUGCCCAACUUAUUUAAAAGCAUGCGUAAUUUUGCCCGGGAGUUUCCGCAGCGUACUCUAACUUUUCUCCGCCUGCUUCCUUGGACCCAAUUUUCUUGUUCUUAUUCUGGAAGGUUUUUUUGUUUGUUUGUUUGUUUGUUUUUUGUUUGUUUGUUUUUUAACUUGACUUUACUUUGCCUGGGAACUGCACGUUUGCAUACUCCUGCAGGCUCUCUACCCUUGGCAAUGGACAGAGAAUAGCAUCCGGGCGGGAGGCUUGGCUGGGAAAGAAAGCCCUGGCGUCACCCGCGGGUUCAGUCUAGGCACUCCCCUCAGAGUACCGCAGGAGCAGGCAGAGCCACUGGCCUAUACAACCUCUGGGCUGCUGGCUACUGGGGUGAUCUGGGCCAGCGUGAUCUUAUUGAAUUUACUAAUGACCAGAGAGAUUUCUUAAGCCAAGUCCCCAGAGAACGAAUCCAAAAUGAGUAAAACAGUUGCCACUCCAGGCUCUGGCCAAGGUUGGGAAUCACAGCUCCUUCUCUGGCCUCCUCCAGUUGGAGCACGAGGUGAGCUCACUGGUGGGCUCCGCUCUCGGGGGGGGGGGGGGGGGGGGUUGUGGUCUGCGCUGCAGCAUACUGUUGAAGACACUUCUGGUAUGUUUCUGGAAACAUAUUACUGAGGUUUGUCUUUCUUUCUUUCUUUCUUCCUUCCUUUCUUUCUUUCUUUUUUUUUCUUCUGCAACAGACUUAGUGUAAAUCUUUACUAAUAAUAGUACUGUCCUAAAAGCUGUCAGGAGUGUGGACAGAUUCGCGCCAUUCUUGUAAAACUGAUAACUUCUUUGAGAGUCGCUCAUCCCACUGAGCGGCUAUGGAUGGAUGCCGGUGGGGUUGGGUCUUAGCUUCUGGACUGACUUGUGGAUUCCUUGUCUAUUUCACAAAACAGCAACACCAAAGUGCUGCCUCUUGACCACCUAUUCUCACCCCUGUUCAGUUUUUUUUUUUCAAGUCUUCAGAUAAAAUUCGGUAUUAGGGUGUGGCCUGCUAGACCCACAGUUCUCCCUGACUCCCUCGCCCCUCGGGCCCUCGACUAUGAAUUAUAGUCCUUCCCUGGUACCACACUAACUCAAAAUGCUUCCAAAUGCAUUUCCCAAUCUUACUAGGUAAGGUUUGAUCUUCGAAGAAGUCCACGUUCUGGUGCCCCACCACAGGGUGGUCCAUGGGAGUUAGGUGCGCGGAUGGAUUCCUCUUCUCUGCCUUCUCUGCCUUCCAGGACAGUUGCAAAUCCAUAACUAGGAAAUCUGAGAUUAAGAGAGGUCUGGAGUUGAGCUGGCCAAAGGAAUCAAGUGGUGGCACAUGCAGAUGUUGUCCCCCACCCCACCUCCACCCCCACUCCCAGGAUCCCAGGUCUGCACUGAGAAACACAGGCUAAGUGGUGACCCCUAGAUCAGAACUGAGCCUCUCUGUCCUCAGCCCUCCUGGAAGAGUUCAAAGACACAGGUAUUGUGCUCUUUAAACGUGCGCUGCUUCAUAAGGCACCCCUCUUUGAACGCCAGGCCUCCUUUUCAUUUUUUUUUUCUCUUCCUAAGGAAAGUAAACAUCUUGUUUGUAUUUCCAUAGUGGUCAGACCCUAAUUAUGCAUGAUUCCAGCAACAAGGCUGCUGCAGCCGGAAGGCGCCGGCCUAGGAAGCCGCCUGGAACUUCACAUAGAUGAUUUUUUUUUCCAUUUUAAACUUUAGACAGUUUGCGGAGGGUUGGGAACCAUAUAGGCUGAAGGUUAGAAAGGGAACAGCCAGGAUUUAUUUGGGGAGGGGGGUAGUUGUCUGAGAAGACAACCACCAGUAAGCUUGCCACUGCCCCUGUAGGCAAACACAGUGUCAGCCUCAAGGACUUAGGUCCACAUCUGGUCAGUACCACCAUUCAAUCAGGACUCCCCUAAGCUUGUAAGAGAGUGAGGAAAGGAACCCGGCAACCGAACAUGGAAAACAUCUUCUUGGUCAUGUGAACUUUAUUGCAAAUCAGGAAGUUAUCUAACAGCUGCCCGAACUUCUGAUUCCAAGGCUCCAAAUGUUGACUGCUUCCCAUACCUUCCCACACCUUCCGGUGCGCUGCCUGCCAACUUGGGGAUUUUCAGAUCUCCUCUUCUCUUCCCAGCUUCUGCCCACAUCUGGCUGGUUGCAUUUGGAGAUGAUUUUCCUUCUUUCAAUUCUCCAGACCACAGCUCCCAUGCUUACCUGAGCUGAUGGUUUCCCUGUCCAUCCUCCAGGAGGAGAAUUCCAAGUCUCCUGCACAGAAAGCCAGGUUGAGGAGGGGUCAGAAGGAGGAAGCCAUGCUAAUGAGGAAGCCUAAGCACACACACAGUACACGCAUUCUCUGUACACCUUUGAUUCAUUCCAGGAAAAAAAAUCACAGAAAAAAAUAAAUUGAGUGGGUGCCUGAGCCAGACUCAUGCACUGGGAAACGGACCUUGUUUCCCUAAAAGGCCUGACAAAGACCUGCACACACAGUAGCUGCAGUGAUGAUCCUUAUAGCCUUGGCCAUGGGACUUCUGGGGAAGAAGGGACAAUUGUUAUUGUUGAGGGAACAGAAGCAGAGGCCCACGAGGACCCACCAAUUUUUGUGCAGUUCAUUUCCUGGCCUCAUAAGAGACCUGAGAGCAUCUCAAGAGGACCCUCUCCCACCUUCCACUAGAUAUCUCCCCAAACCCCAGUCCCCCUAAGUAACUCACACCUAGCAUGGAAGGAGCCUGCUCUAGCUGACUGGUUUAGCUGGCAGGACAUUACUAUGACCACUGUGUGGAUUUCUGGACCCCAAAAGGUCAGAGGGAGCAGGGCCAGUUGGAGCCAAGUCCAAGCAUAAUCCAAGCAUAAUCCAGAUGUCUAAGAACAGGGACAUCUCCAGAGGCCCGUGUGUAGAAAACCCAUUCAUCUUGGGUCCAGUGAAUUUACUCUGUGGAAAGACAGUCUAAGAUAUGCCCCAGCGAGGAAGGGAGCAGCUACAGGAAGGCUGACACAGUCUCCUGGCUGCACAGCUCCCUGAGCUGUGGAGUUUCUUCUGAAUUAAAGGAUGUUCUGGUGUGGUCCACCUGGACAGUGUUGUGCCACAUGACUUGUGCCACCAAGCCCUUUGAAAACAAACUCCUUUACUUUGAGUGAUAAUCCAACCUCACUUACCCUAAGCAGGAUGGCCACACAGCCCGGAAGUGCUUGCUGAGACCCGGAAGCACCUGGAGCUGGCCACUCUCCUCUUUAGGAGACCUUGGCCAUCCCAGUGUGUAAAGCCUCAAGUCACCUGGGACCAGUAUUAUGUGUUUGUGAUCCUCGCUCCUCUUGUCCCACCCACCUCUGGAAUAUACACCCGCUGAGGGAUGGAAAUCUCAAGACAGCAAAUGGAGCUAGUCCUUCGUUUUACUUAAGCUAUUUUGGUCUGCCCUGCGGUGGGGCAGGAGACAAAUGAUACUUUAUAAUAGGAGCCUGAUAACUAAAAUCUCAUCAUAGAUUAUAGAAUAGAUGUACUAGAAGGAUCUUCGGAUGUGAUCAUAAUUCCACACAUAAUAACGCAGUCACCUGUACUCCCUCCCGCUGUGUGUAUCUCCGCGGGGUGGGGGACUCCCAGUGAUCAGGGGUGAGUGCGCGUGGGGGUACAGAGGCUGGGGCGCACCCCUCAGCUCUCUGGGGAACCGGGCUUGCGGGGCGCCUAGCUGGCCCUGUGACCCGCCCGCUGUUGUAAGAAAAAUGUUUCAGAUUCAACCUGAGCUUCUUUUCGUAGCACAGGAAACAUCUGGGAAGUUUUCCCCCAGCGUUUGGAAAAGUACUUACUUCUCAACUUGGCUCUAAGACAAACCUGGGUCUGAAGAGGGUGCACAGGGGUUGGCAACCCUGCCUGGGUACAAACUGGGGAUCUAACUGGUGGCAGACACUUGGGUGAAGGACGAAUUAAACUCUUAGUCCCGCGUCUGCGCCUUCUGGCCUCAUUGUUUUAACGUCUGUACUACUUAGCCACAGUUUGAGAAAGAAUAAUGCCUUUACAUUCAGAAAAACUUCAAAGACCUGGGCUUGCUCAAUAUGGAGCGCACAUGGUAGUCUCCGAAGGCCUUGUCUGCCAAAACAUGUUUCUCAGUAUUUUUCUCUUUUCUUCCGAUCUCCCACCCCCCACUUUUUUUCCUCCCCCAGAUGGGAGGGAACCACAGGCUCAGGUUACCUAGGGCGGUUUGCCUUCAAGUGAGGCAGCUAGGGCUAUCCUAAAGCAUCUCGGGAACAAAAUCUCAACUAGGAAGGGACUUUGAGGAUGAACGGUCUCCCCAGACAAGAUGGAGAGAUUGUAAGUUGACCAGAACCCAGAAGGGACUGUGACAGAGUGAGCGCAUCAUCAGAUUUAUAGAUGCUAAAACACAGUGCCCUUUUCCUGCGGAUGCACACUUUUCUGUUGGUAACUACUUUUAAAAAUAAGGUUAAGAUACACUGGCUGCUCUCUUCCCCUUAGCUCAUGGCUCUCCGUGUAGAAAGUGUUUCCUAUUUAUCCAGUGAACUAACCAAAUAAAGACAACCAUCUGUUAAUACACUUUUCAAUUUUUGUCUAAGCAAUAUCAGUUCGAAACUUUUUUGAAACUAUUAUCUAGAUAGCUACCCCAACUUACUUACUUACUUCUUUUCUCCCCUCCUUCCUCUCUUUCUUCCUUCCUAAGUUAUCCAGCAGAGAGAAGCAGAUGGUUGGCUAGAAGUUCAGGUAAAUUGCUUCAGGAAUUCGGUCAAGGAAAAUCCCAAAACAAUAUGAUUCAUUAAACUGAUGUGCUUCGACUUCUGACUUUUCUUGCAGAUGCUAAGACCCCCUCCAAAAGGCAAAGGUAUUUUUGUCCAGGGCACAUAGCUAGAGUGGAGCUGGAAACAGCCUCCUUCCCAGACUGACUGUGAGCAGGGCUCACCAUCCCACAGCAGCAGCCUGGUGGGAGACAUCAGAUAGCUUCCUCUUCUUUAGCCUCUUCUAUUAAAUGGACUCCUUUCAACACCUCUGGGGGGAAAAAUGAUCUCAGGAUAUUAUCCUUCGGCGAAUUUACAUGCAGAGUUAGUAUUAGAGGCAGGGGUGGGUUCUUAGGACUCCCAUUUUAAAGAAGAUUCAUGCUGUCGCCAGGACAUGCAGCCUUUUCUAACACAAUAUUGAUGGUGGUGGGGAAGGAACCACAGCACACAUGGAGCUGAUUAACCACGAAUCUUAUCAAAUCUUCCAGCUCUCUAGCGGCAUAUAAGAUAUACACAGGGCCAGCAGGCCAAUUAUCAUGCCAGCACUCACAAAACCUGUACUUCAGACCUGGCUUCGCCACCGACCUAUUGCAUUCAAUAGCCAGCCACUUUCUACAGUUUCAGUCUCUCUAGAUAUAAGUAUGCAUGUAUGCAAAUUCACAUAUAAAAUAUAUAUGCACUUAAACAUAAAUAUUAAUUUUCCAUCUAGAUGAACUCUUUGGCCCACAAACUCAACUUCUCUCCCCAUUUUCUUUGUUAUUGUAUUUAUCAAUAUUUAAUAAACCUCAUGCUCACAUCUGGCGGAAGGUGGAGCUUCUUAGGUGAAGAAUUGAGAACAACAGGAUCCAUGGAAGAGUUUUAGGGGGCUUUAGCCCCUUUAUCCCACAGAUGAGAUGCAGGGCCCAAAGAGGCUUCCUCAGGUCACCCAGCUGGAAAUCCCAGGUUGGCUUCCUACACAGUAUCACAUUCUUUCCAGAAAUUUAUUACAGAAAUGGGGCCUACUAGUCUCUGCUGUAAGCUUGUGUCAGCACAGGUCACAUCUCUGUCUACCUCUACCUGCCACUCCAAUAAUCUGCAGGCCUUACAUGGCUUUCUAUUUCAUGUUAUAAAUAAUAGAUGCAGAAGGUAAUGGUUUUAGAUUCAGGAGCAUGAACUUAGAGCAGAAGUCAACCAGUGCUUUCUGCUUGGGAUCCUCUUCUUCUUCUUCUUCUUCUUCUUCUUCUUCUUCUUCUUCUUCUUCUUCUUCUUCUUCUUCUUCUUCUUCUUCUUCUUCUUCUCCUCCUUCUCCUUCUCCUUCUCCUCCUCCUCCUCCUCCUCCUCCUCCUCCUCCUCCUUCUCCUUCUUUCUUCUUCUUCUUCCACCUCCUCCUCCUUCUUCCUCUUCCUCUUCUCCUUCUUCCUCCUUUUUCUUCUCCCUCUCUCUGUUUCAUUUUGAGACAGUGUUUCACUGUAUAAAUCAGGCUGACUUGGAACUCACAGAUAUCCUCUCCCUCCUGGAGUACUGGAUUAAGGAUGUGUGCUAGAAUUCUAUUUCUUUAAACUAACUCUGCUUGUAAUUUG
rnacentral:lncRNA from 1 species